AGGGCCGCGGCCGUGACAGACAAGCAAACGACGCCUUGCUGCUGCUAUUGCAAUUCCUGAGUCUUGCGGGCCUGAUACAGACCCCCCUCGGGGAGGGGACCUGACCCGCAGGCCCAGAGCUGCCACUGGCCACAUAGGGCACAUUAGCUCCUCUCUCCCCCAUCACACCGACAGUAGAUAAAACUCUGGAGAUCUGGAAUAAAACAAACUACUGCUCCUCUCAGAAGGAACAUGCAGCCAGGUCGCAAUUAAAUAUACAGAUACACGAGCUGUUAGCAAGAUUUCACCCUCGCAUCCGAAUCAGAAAGCAGCAAAGUUGGCGGGGAUGAUUCCCAUGUCACUUAUUAUUUAUACUUAAAAUGUCUUAAAACUCGCCGGCAGAGCGGUGUGUUUGUUAUUCAGACACUUUCUUUUGUUAGUGUCCCUUU